AAAGGGUCUCGUUGGUGACCAGCGGAGGGACAUUACCGAGUUUACAACUCCCAAACCCAAUGUGAACGUUACCAAACUGUUGCCUCGGCGGGGUCACGCCCCGGGUGCGUAAAAGCCCCGGAACCAGGCGCCCGCCGGAGGAACCAACCAAACUCUUUCUGUAGUCCCCUCGCGGACGUAUUUCUUACAGCUCUGAGCAAAAAUUCAAAAUGAAUCAAAACUUUCAACAACGGAUCUCUUGGUUCUGGCAUCGAUGAAGAACGCAGCGAAAUGCGAUAAGUAAUGUGAAUUGCAGAAUUCAGUGAAUCAUCGAAUCUUUGAACGCACAUUGCGCCCGCCAGUAUUCUGGCGGGCAUGCCUGUCCGAGCGUCAUUUCAACCCUCGAACCCCUCCGGGGGAUCGGCGUUGGGGAUCGGGACCCCUCACCGGGUGCCGGCCCUGAAAUACAGUGGCGGUCUCGCCGCAGCCUCUCCUGCGCAGUAGUUUGCACAACUCGCACCGGGAGCGCGGCGCGUCCACGUCCGUAAAACACCCAACUUCUGAAAUGUUGACCUCGGAUCAGGUAGGAAUACCCGCUGAACUUAAGCAUAUCAAUAAGCGGAGGA
rnacentral:rRNA from 1 species